rnacentral:rRNA from 1 species
AUUAUUAUUAAAUAAUAAACAAAUGAAAAUUGAAUUUAAUGGUCCUUUCGUACUAAUUAAAAUUAUAUAUUAUUAGAUAGAAACCAACCUGGCUCACACCGGUUUGAACUCAAAUCAUGUAAGAAUUUAAUAGUCGAACAGACUAAUUUAUAUAAAAUCUACUAUAUAUUAUUAUCUUAAUUCAACAUCGAGGUCGCAAACUUCAGUUUAAAUAUGAACUUACUACUAAAAUUACGCUGUUAUCCCUAAGGUAAUUUUUUCUUAGAAACAAAUUAAAUAUGAUUCAUAAUAAUCAUAAAUAAAUGAAUAAAAACCCUAAAGUUAAAUUUAAGAAUCACCCCAAUUAAAAAUUAUAAAAUAAUAAAUAAAAAUACACAAAAUUAUAAACAUAUUAAAUAAAAAAUUAAAUUCUAUAGGGUCUUCUCGUCCCAAUAAAAAAAUUAAGCUUUCUCACUCAAAAAUAAAAUUCUAUUAUUAAAACCAAUAAAAUAAAUUUUUCAUUAAUUCAUUCAUUCUAGUCCUCAAUUAAAAAACUAAUUAUUAUGCUACCUUUGUACAGUCAAUAUACUGCAGCUAUUUAAAAUUAAUCAUUGAGCAGAACCUAUCUUUAAUAAACCAUCCUAAAAAAAAUGUUUUUGAUAAACAGUUGAAAAUUAAAUUUGUCGAGUUCAUAAAAAAUAAAUUAAAAAAAUACUAAUUAUAUCAAUAUUAAAAUUAAAAAAUCAUUAAAUAAAAAAAAUUAAUAUUAAUAUAAAUAAAAAAAAAUCAUAUUAUAUAUAUUUCAAUAUAUUAAAAACUAAAAUAAUAAUCUAAUCCAUAAUAAAAAUACUUAAUAAAUAAAAUUUUAAAAUAAAAUAAAGAUUAUCCUUUAUUCAUUAAUUAAGAAGAACUUAAUAAAAUUAAAUUUAAUAUUAAUCAACCAGAUAUAAAGUAGAACAAUUAACCUAUAAUUAUCAUUUUAAUAUUAUUAAUCUCUCUAAAACAAGAACUACAUAAUAAAAUAAAUAUCAACUAUUCGGGAAAUAAAUAUACAUAUAUAUUUAAAUAAACCCUGAUACAAAAGGUACUAAUAAUUAUAAAAAAAUAAUUAAUAAUAAAACUUAACAGAUAACUUAAAUACAAAUAAUUUCCAAUAAAUACUAAUAAAAUUUAAACUAAGAUAAAAAAAAAAAAAAAAAAAAAGAAAAGACCUCUAAUA